CCUACGGGAGGCAGCAGUGAGGAAUAUUGGUCAAUGGGCGCAAGCCUGAACCAGCCAAGUCGCGUGAGGGAUGACGGUCCUAUGGGUUGUAAACCUCUUUUGUCGGGGAGCAAGGCCCGCCACGUGUGGCGGGAAGGAGAGUACCCGUAGAAAAAGCAUCGGCUAACUCCGUGCCAGCAGCCGCGGUAAUACGGAGGAUGCGAGCGUUAUCCGGAUUUAUUGGGUUUAAAGGGUGCGUAGGCGGAAGGUUAAGUCAGCGGUAAAAUUUCGGUGCUCAACACCGGCCUGCCGUUGAAACUGGUCUUCUUGAGUGAGCGAGAAGUAUGCGGAAUGCGUGGUGUAGCGGUGAAAUGCAUAGAUAUCACGCAGAACUCCGAUUGCGAAGGCAGCACACCGGCGCUCAACUGACGCUGAGGCACGAAAGCGUGGGGAUCGAACAGGAUUAGAUACCCGAGUAGUC
rnacentral:rRNA from 1 species